UUCUAUUCAAAUAGUCUGUUGAGUAUCUUUUUUCAUUUGUGGCAUCAACAAGACAAUGCUAUGAUAGAGUAUUUCAAGCUUGGUGAUCUAUGAGUUUGCUACGACAAGAUUAGUGCGUAUGGCUUUGGAUCACAAGCCGAUUUAAACAAUGGAGAAACCAUUAUGCAAUACUUUGUUUCUUACCUAUCUGUCAUUCAUAUCAACACUAACAAACCAUUGUAUUGUCCAGUGAUAGUGAGAGCAAGAAGUUGUUUUCAAGAUCUAUGAGAAAUGAUUCAAGCAAAACAUGGGAUGCUGUCUCUGAAGAUUGGGUUUUUGAUCCAGAUGGUUCAAUAUGUCUCGUGCAAGUUGGAUGACUGUUGCUUGGUAAGCAAGCAAUCGUCAGCCAGUACAAUUCUUGAACUAUUAGUUUGAUAAGUGGGAUUGUUUGAUGGACUAGAUAUCCGAGCAAGAACAAGAUAGAUUUGAACAAGAUAGAUUUGAUGACAUGUAACUUUCUCUUCCUCUUUUCAAGAUAAUGUGGUGGAAACAUGAUAGCAACAACAAAAGCAAGGAAGGACUGUGUUGUGAAGCAUCUGUUGCUAGAAGCACAUUACACAAGAAUCUUUUUCAGAUUAAAACUAAACAACAAUUUAGCUUAGAU